GACGAACGCUGGCGGCGUGCCUAAUACAUGCAAGUCGAACGCUUUUUCUUUCACCGGAGCUUGCUCCACCGAAAGAAAAAGAGUGGCGAACGGGUGAGUAACACGUGGGUAACCUGCCCAUCAGAAGGGGAUAACACUUGGAAACAGGUGCUAAUACCGUAUAACAAGUAAAACCGCAUGGUUUUACUUUGAAAGGCGCUUCUGCGUCACUGAUGGAUGGACCCGCGGUGCAUUAGCUAGUUGGUGAGGUAACGGCUCACCAAGGCAACGAUGCAUAGCCGACCUGAGAGGGUGAUCGGCCACAUUGGGACUGAGACACGGCCCAAACUCCUACGGGAGGCAGCAGUAGGGAAUCUUCGGCAAUGGACGAAGGUCUGACCGAGCAACGCCGCGUGAGUGAAGAAGGUUUUCGGAUCGUAAAACUCUGUUGUUAGAGAAGAACAAGGAUGAGAGUAAAAAGUUCAUCCCUUGACGGUAUCUAACCAGAAAGCCACGGCUAACUACGUGCCAGCAGCCGCGGUAAUACGUAGGUGGCAAGCGUUGUCCGGAUUUAUUGGGCGUAAAGCGAGCGCAGGCGGUUUCUUAAGUCUGAUGUGAAAGCCCCCGGCUCAACCGGGGAGGGUCAUUGGAAACUGGGAAACUUGAGUGCAGAAGAGGAGAGUGGAAUUCCAUGUGUAGCGGUGAAAUGCGUAGAUAUAUGGAGGAACACCAGUGGCGAAGGCGGCUCUCUGGUCUGUAACUGACGCUGAGGCUCGAAAGCGUGGGGAGCAAACAGG
rnacentral:rRNA from 1 species